CUCCCUUUCUGUUUGUGUGUGAUUGUGUGGUUGGAGACAGGUGUGCUGGAGCCAGAGUGGAUCCUCACCAGCUGCAACCCGUUCCAUUAUCAAGACCUCUACAAAUACUCAGUCCUGCCACUUCCACUCUGCCGGAUCGCAUUCUCCGUUCAUUUUACUCCUCUGACUCCUGUCUCCUGUUCCACAUCUCACCACCCUGCUACCCUGUUCUGGAUUCAACUCAUCAUCACUCCCUUGGAUUCCCCUCCAGACCUGUUCACCCUGUCCCAACCCAGCUCACUCCAACCUCAGCCUCCACAUCUGGUUUCCAACAACUCAUCCAAGCUUCCCUGGAUCUGCCCUUCAUCUCUCCCUGUGUUACAAUAAAUAUCUUGGUUCAUUCA